rnacentral:rRNA from 1 species
CCGGGAUUCAGUGCCGCAGCUAACGCAUUAAGCACUCCGCCUGGGGAGUACGACCGCAAGGUUGAAACUCAAAGGAAUUGACGGGGGCCCGCACAAGCGGUGGAGCAUGUGGUUUAAUUCGAGGCAACGCGAAGAACCUUACCAGGUCUUGACAUCCCGAUGCUAUUUCUAGAGAUAGGAAGUUACUUCGGUACAUCGGUGACAGGUGGUGCAUGGUUGUCGUCAGCUCGUGUCGUGAGAUGUUGGGUUAAGCCCCGCAACGAGCGCAACCCCUAUUGUUAGUUGCCAUCAUUCAGUUGGGCACUCUAGCAAGGCUGCCGGUAAUAAACCGGAGGAAGGUGGGGAUGACGUCAAAUCAUCAUGCCCCUUAUGACCUGGGCUACACACGUGCUACAAUGGUUGGUACAACGAGUUGCAAGUCGGUGACGGCGAGCUAAUCUCUUAAAGCCAAUCUCAGUUCGGA